AUGCCAGAUCCCUAACCCACUGAGUGAGGCCAUGGAUGGAACCUGCAUCCUCAUGGAUACCAUGUUAGAUUUUUAACCCUCUGAGCCAGAGCAGGAACUCUCUCUCGGGCCCUCAUUUACUACAAAUUAAACACUCUACAGGGCCACAAGUCACAACACCCUGCAUGCAUGGGGGAGGGGGUUGCCCAGCUGGACACCUGACAUCCCUGCUGUCAGCCAGAGGCUCCUUCCGUCUCUGGACAAUGAGAGCGUGAGAGCUUGACACCUGAUCCUGGGGCUCCCCCAGGCACACCUGCCUCCCCUGCACCCCCCCCUUCUAAUCUUCAUAGCAGCUUCAGUUUUCCCACAGGGCUUCCGGGGCCCUCCCUACCUUCUGGAGCAGGCAGGCAGCAUGACAGGUGACAAAUCAAAAGUCAUUCUCUCCUGAACAGGUGUGUGCCGGGGCUCAGGGGCAGGGCAGGGAGGCCAAGGUUGGGGUGGGAGUUCCUAGAAGCCUCUGGGGCCCAGGAGCAUAUGAUCCCAUGGCUGGAACCCUGUUUUUAGCAGUUAGUCAAGGCUGCCAGAAGCUGUGGCUGAUUUCCUCCCCUGUCCCAAUGCCAAGUUCACUUACCAUGUUAGUUCUUACCAACUUUAGCCACCUACUCCGGGCCAGGCUUUAAGGAUUCUCAGAAAAAGACCUGCCAUCCUCUCAGCCCAAGGAUGCAGACCACCCCUACCCUCCACCCCCAUGUUUUCUCUGCCCACUUGGCUGCUGAUGGCUGGGCUCCCCAAUCCCUGAUACUAUAGGCCCCGUUGCUCCCCAGCUUUUCAGUCCAUCUGCCUCAAGGCUGGUAAGUUAUCAAUAGCCUCAAGUCCCAUCCCCAAACCCAAUGGGGGUUUAAAAUAAAAUCACCCAGUCACCUCUAAAACCACAGGAAAUGUCCUUGGACCAACUCAGAGGGUUAACUAUUUCUCUGCUUUGUGCCCCCUCAAGAUCAGCAGAGCCAGACUUAUUAAAUAAUAACAGAUUAUUUUAAAAUAAUAAUGAGGGAGUUCUUUUGCGGCACAGCAGGUUAAGAACCCAGUGUUAUCACUGCAGGGGCUUGGGUCACUACUGUGGCAUGGGUUCAGUUCCUGGCCUGAGAACUUCCACAUGAUGCAGGCAGCCAAAAAAAUAAUAAUAAUUUUAAAAUGAUGUUAACAUUAUUUAUGUAAUAAUAGCUCAUUUAAAACUAAUAAUAGUUAUCAUUAGAAGGUAAGCAACAGUACAAACACUACAAAGGCCGGUAAUUUUGUCUAUUUUGUUCACUGAUGUGUUAUGAGAGCCAAGACCAGUGUUUGGCACAUUGCAGUCAUUCAGAAAGUACUUUGAAUAAAGUAUUUACUAGGUGCCAGGCACUAUCCAAGUGCUUUUCAAGUAUUAAUUUAUUUAAUCCUUACAACGUGGUGAGGUGGGUAAUAUUACUCCCAUUUUGCAGACAGGGAAACUGAGGUACAGAGAAACUGACAAUGUCAUCGUGGUAUAGAAUGUAUACUAUUUCAUUGAACAUUUUUGGCUUUUUUUUUUAGUGCCACACAGAGCCAUAUGGAAGUUCCCAGGCUAGGGGUUGUACUGGAGCUGUAGCUGCCAGCCUACACCACAGCCAUAGCAACACCAGACCUGAGCCACAUCUGUGACCUGCCGUGGCCCACCACAAUGCCAGAUCCCCAACCCACUGAGCCAGGCCAGGGAUCAAACCCACGUCCCCGUGGACACCAGUUGGGUUCAUUAUCUCUGAGCCACAAUGGUAAUUCCAAACAUUUUUGUUUCACUUCUUUAACAAUAAUUUAUCGAUACCCAGCUCUCCUGUCUUAAACACAGACCAUGAUUGAAAAGUUGGUGGGAUGAAUCAAUAGAGCUUCCUUCAACCUCACUAUCUAUAUGUCAUUCACCAAAUGUUUUGGAAAUGAUUGGGAGUGGAGAGAAGAUGUGGGGAAGGAACCGAGGAGUCAGUGGCUAAAAUACAGACCCCAGAGUCCAAAUGGCUGGGUUUGAAUCUCCAUCUCUUCCCCUUUUUAGCUGUGUGAUCUUGGGCAAGUUGCUCAACCUCUUGUGGCCUCAGUUUCAUCAUCUUUUAAAUGGGGAUAAUAAUAGCCCUGGCCUUCUAGAGCUGUUGUGAGAAUUAAAUGAGAUAAUGCUUGCUCAGUGCUUGGCACAUAGUAAGGGCUCCGUAAAUGGUGGUUAUUACCACUGUUAAUAUGAUAUUGGUGUAACUUCUCCUUGCCCCGUAUCUGAUGUGCAGUCAAAGCCUCUUAUUAGUUCUUCCACUGGCUACACCAGCAGCUUCUUGGCAGGCGCCUGUAGCAGGUGUGACCCAUCCCUCCCCAUCUGUCAGGGUGAAUCCUCCGCCAGUUCCGGUCUGAGCUUAUAACCUGCUUAUUAGGUUAAUUAGACGCGACAUCUUUCCAAAGGCAGCCCUAACAUCUGGUGAAGGCUGCAGCUUGCCAAGAAUUUGUGGAAUGGCAAGUCCUCACCAGCCUUCGGUUGGAGCAGGUGGGGCACAGUGUGGGGAGAAGCACCAUCCCUUUCCUCUCAUGGGAUCCUUGGCUGGCUCCUGGGUCUUCCCUGGGUAGGACUGCCAGAUAAAAUACAGGAUGUCCAGUUAAAUUUGAAUUUCAGAUAAGUGCCAAAUUUAUUUCCUAAUAUAAGUCUCAAAUAAUGUAGUUCCUGUCAUGGCUCAGUGGUUAAUGAAUCCAACUAGGAACCAUGGGGUUGCGGGUUUGAUCCCUGGCCUCACUCAGUGGGUUAAGGAUCUUGCGUUGCUGUGGCUGUGGUGUAGGCCUGCAGCUACAGCUCCAAUUAGACCCCUUGCCCGGGAAUCUCCAUAUGCCACAGGUGCAGCCCUAGAAAAG
rnacentral:lncRNA from 1 species